GGAUCAUCCAUUCUCAGAACACCUGUGUGUUAUUCCACUGAGUGCUGUGUGUGUGUCUGCUAAGUCGCUUCAGUCGUGUCCAGCUCUUUGUGACCCUAUGGACUGUAACCUGCCAGCCUCCUCUGUCCAUGGGAUUCUUCAGUUGCAGGUGUUCAGAACAGGUCUUCCCAACAUGUGCUACUUUGGCAUGUGGUUUCUUUUGAGUUAAAGACAAUGGAGACCCCGUGGGCUCAUGAGAAACUGCUACCCCUCCCUUUACUACUUGCUGCUGCUGCUGCUAAGUCGCUUCCGUCGUGUCCAACUCUGUGCGACCCCAGAGACGGCAGCCCACCAGGCUCCCCCGUCCCUGGGAUUCUCCAGGCAAGAACACUGGAGUGGGGUGCCAUUUCGUUCUCCAAUGCAUGAAAGUGAAAAGUGAAAGUGAAGUCACUGAGUCUUGUCCGACUCUUAGCGACCCCACGGACGGCGGCCCACCAGGCUCCUCCGUCCAUGGGAUUUUCCAGGCAACAUCGUUGGAAGAGAUCAGCAUCACCACUCAACUGAAAAACAGUGCUUGUAGAAGAGUAAAGCAUGGUGUGUUAGAACAAGCACUCAGUGACUGAGGGCCCUGCCAAUAUCCAGACUCUGACAAUUUGCAAUAGGAC
ensembl:lncRNA